GUCACUAUCUCUAUGGACAUUAGGGCUAGAUCAGCCUCUAAUGGCAUUGCUGUAAAUACCGAAAAUGGUUUUGUAGUUUUAACUCCAAUAAUCACGAAUAUGCUUGUAUUAAGUUAACCUGCAGUCUAGAAUUGCAACAUCCUGUAUUACAGUGAAUCUGAUAACACUGACUGCAUUGUUAUAUUUGUAUUAAUACGAUCUGUUGAAUACUAAUAUGGUUCUGACCCGGUAAGGGUAUUGUCCUUUCAACGCCACACAACAAGCAUUGUAGUCCAUUCCCCUGGGAUAGGAGACGUUUUGUUUGUGUCCUCUUUUUACACCAGCACUCCUUUUUGACACAGAGACUCCUCUCUCUUCUCUCCCGCUGCACUGUAGCCCUUUUCAAAAUGAGAAGCUCCAGGUCAGUUUCCCUUUCCAAGUUUUACGGCCUGCCAUGUUGUCUAUUCUGCUCAGCUAUUUAAAAAAUGUUGAAUAUCAACAAUGGCUUUCACUGGUGCAUUGUCAACUUUUGUAUGAAGCAAUCUUGGCUGAAUGAGAUGGGUCCCAGAGCAGGGAGGGCUCGGCUGUAGCGUGCACAGAGACACCACAGACGCCUGCUUGGUUCUCCCUCUCUUGCUCUGCUGCAGGUGGGAUUGAGGAGGCAGGAGCAGCCGCCCCUCUCGUCCCUGUCUUAGCCCAGCCGGUUUCGUCUGCAUGGGGCUGGGCAUUCCACCCACUCGUCAGUCCUCGCCGCGAGCCCUUCCUCAUCCCAAGGCCCCAUCCCACUGGACCUGUCGUCUGGAGCCACUGAACGUGUGACACCUCACCCAGGGAUCGGAGAGCCAGAGCCCCGGAGGCCAGUCAGAGCUGGGUAUGAAGGACAGGCCCUCUGUCUUAAUGACUGACUGAUUCACGGACAUGGCUUUCAACAACAUGGUCGGUCCUAGAGGAAGAAAUUAUGCUCUAACAGUCACACAACCCAACACACAUCUGUUCACAGGUAGCCAUGUAAACCCUAUUGGAGGUGUAGGUUUGAAGAGAAGCAGAGGAAAUCCCCCACCCAACCCAGAGAAGCCCUCUCCAGGUCAGCAGCAACAUUGGAGUACCCUACUACCUGACAGGCUGACUGAUGCUCCAGACAAAGGGUGUCCUCUACCAUCCAUCCACAGGUUGAGACCUGAAAGACGUGCCAGACCCUCUGCCAAACGUCGUCCUCCACCUCGCCCUGCAGACAUUGAUGGUGAAGCAUGAUUCAUCACUCCAGAAAACGCAUUUCCAUUGCUCCAGAGUCCAACUGCGGCGAGCUUUACACCACUCCAGAUGAUGCUUGUUAUUGUGCAUGGUGAUCUUAUGCUUGUGUGCGGCUGCUCGGCCAUGGAAAUCAAUUUAAUGAAGCUCCCGACAAACAGGACUUGUGCUGACGUUGCUUCCAGAGGCAAUUUGGAACUCAGUGGUGAGUGUUGCAAUCGAGGACAGAUGAUUUUAGGCGCCAAGUGUGAGCUUGUGUGGUCUACCAAUUACAUCAGCGGCUGAGCCGUUGUUGCUCCUAGACGUUUACACUUCACAUUAACAGCACUUACAGUUGACCGGGAUAGCUCUAGCACGGCAGAAAUUUGACGAACUGAAUUGUUGAAAAGGUGGCAUCCUAUGACGUUGCCACAUUUAAAGUCACUGAGCUCUUCAAUAUGGGCCAUUCUACUGCCAAUGUUUGUCUGUGGGAGAUUUUAUGGCUGUGCACUUGAUUUUAUACACCUGUCAGCAACGGAUGUGGCUGAACUAGCCGAAUCCACUAAUUUGAAGGGGUGUCCACAUACUUUUGGCCAUGUAGUGUGUCAGGGUUCCAGAGUUUCAUUUACCCCCUUGUGUCCAUAGUUAUAUAAAAUAUGAACUGAUUAUUUUUUUAUUUCUUAUAGAACUUGACUUGAAUUAAUGCUUGCUAGCAGUUGAAUAGAGACAACUUAAUUGCCGUUUUUCAAGAUGGAGGUCUUUUGUGGAGGUGUGGGGGUGUUUAUGUGUAGGUCCCAUAAAUUAUGAUGCCAUUCCGCUAAUGAUGUGAGGAAACUAUGGUAAACCUCUCCUCCCUCCAUCAUUCUCUCCUCUCUCCAUCAUCCCUCUCUCGUUUGCAUGGAGCCCCUGCCAGCUCCUCUUCUCACGCUGUUUGGUGGUAAAAC